rnacentral:tRNA from 1 species
GGUAAUUAGUUUAAUUAAAAUUUAUGAUUUCGACUCAUCAGAACAUGGGGCCCACCAUGAUUACCA